rnacentral:rRNA from 1 species
UACAGAGGUCCCAAGCGUUGUUCGGAGUCAUUGGGCGUAAAGGGUGCGUAGGCGGCGCGGUAAGUCGGGUGUGAAAUCUCGGAGCUUAACUCCGAAACUGCAUUCGAUACUGCCGUGCUUGAGGACUGGAGAGGAGACUGGAAUUUACGGUGUAGCGGUGAAAUGCGUAGAUAUCGUAAGGAAGACCAGUGGCGAAGGCGGGUCUCUGGACAGUUCCUGACGCUGAGGCACGAAGGCCAGGGGAGCAAACGGG